rnacentral:rRNA from 1 species
AAACCAACAGGGAUUGCCUCAGUAACGGCGAGUGAAGCGGCAACAGCUCAAAUUUGAAAUCUGGCCCCAGGCCCGAGUUGUAAUUUGCAGAGGAUGCUUUUGGCGAGGUGCCUUCCGAGUUCCCUGGAACGGGACGCCAUAGAGGGUGAGAGCCCCGUACGGUUGGACACCAAGUCUUUGUAAAGCUCCUUCGACGAGUCGAGUAGUUUGGGAAUGCUGCUCAAAAUGGGAGGUAUAUUUCUUCUAAAGCUAAAUAUUGGCCAGAGACCGAUAGCGCACAAGUAGAGUGAUCGAAAGAUGAAAAGCACUUUGAAAAGAGGGUUAAACAGCACGUGAAAUUGUUAAAAGGGAAGCGCUUAUGACCAGACUUGCGCCCGGUGAAUCACCCAGCUCUCGCGGCUGGGGCACUUUGCCGGCUCAGGCCAGCAUCAGCUCGCUGUCGGGGACAAAAGCUUCGGGAACGUAGCUCUCUUCGGGGAGUGUUAUAGCCCGUUGCAUAAUACCCUUCGGCGGGCUGAGGUGCGCGCUCCGCAAGGAUGCUGGCGUAAUGGUCAUCAGCGAC